rnacentral:rRNA from 1 species
UACAGAGGUCCCAAGCGUUGUUCGGAUUUACUGGGCGUAAAGGGUGCGUAGGUGGCGAGGUAAGUUCGAUGUGAAAUCUCCGAGCUCAACUCGGAAACGGCAUUGAAUACUAUCCCGCUUGAGGGUCGGAGGGGAGACUGGAAUUCUCGGUGUAGCAGUGAAAUGCGUAGAUAUCGAGAGGAACACCAGAGGCGAAGGCGAGUCUCUGGACGACUCCUGACACUGAGGCACGAAAGCUGGGGGAGCAAACAGG